GUGUAUGUGAGAGAGAGAGAGAGAGACAAAGAGAGAGAGAGAGAGAGAGAGAGCGGGAGGGUCUAUGUCAGCUUCGUCGAUUUUGGGGAAUUUGUUCUGGAAUAGAUUACACAGCAGGUCCAGCGUCCCUGGUUUGAUGCUCAGGUUACUGGAAUUUCACAUAUUCUCCCUGUGACUAUCGAAGAUAUUAUACGCUGCAACUAUACAAGGUGUUCACAAAUAAGUAAUUACUCACAAGAGGACACAAAGAGAGAAUAAACACGUGUGAAGUACAAGCUGGGGAGAUGGUUGUGGAGAUAAUGAGGGCAAUCCACCACAGCUGCGUAGGCCUUCCAGGUCUUUACCACCACCUGGAACUUGAUGAAUGCUCUGUGAUGGGCCACACACUUUCUGAUAUUCUUUUUACUUCCAAGAUUUUGA